CCCUUUAAUGUUUGAUGUUCUAACGUGGACCCGUAAUCCGGGUUGCGGACAGUGUCUGGUGGGUAGUUUGACUGGGGCGGUCUCCUCCUAAAGAGUAACGGAGGAGCACGAAGGUUGGCUAAUCCUGGUCGGACAUCAGGAGGUUAGUGCAAUGGCAUAAGCCAGCUUGACUGCGAGCGUGACGGCGCGAGCAGGUGCGAAAGCAGGUCAUAGUGAUCCGGUGGUUCUGAAUGGAAGGGCCAUCGCUCAACGGAUAAAAGGUACUCCGGGGAUAACAGGCUGAUACCGCCCAAGAGUUCAUAUCGACGGCGGUGUUUGGCACCUCGAUGUCGGCUCAUCACAUCCUGGGGCUGAAGUAGGUCCCAAGGGUAUGGCUGUUCGCCAUUUAAAGUGGUACGCGAGCUGGGUUUAGAACGUCGUGAGACAGUUCGGUCCCUAUCUGCCGUGGGCGCUGGAGAAUUGAGGGGGGCUGCUCCUAGUACGAGAGGACCGGAGUGGACGCAUCACUGGU
rnacentral:rRNA from 1 species